GGGGAAUAUUGGACAAUGGGCGAAAGCCUGAUCCAGCCAUGCCGCGUGUGUGAAGAAGGUCUUCGGAUUGUAAAGCACUUUAAGUUGGGAGGAAGGGUUUCUGGCUAAUAUCCAGGAAUUUUGACGGUACCGUAAGAAGAAGCACCGGCUAACUACGUGCCAGCAGCCGCGGUAAUACGUAGGGUGCGAGCGUUAAUCGGAAUUACUGGGCGUAAAGCGUGCGCAGGCGGUUUGGUAAGACAGGUGUGAAAUCCCCGGGCUUAACCUGGGAACUGCGCUUGUGACUGCCAGGCUAGAGUACGGCAGAGGGGGGUGGAAUUCCACGUGUAGCAGUGAAAUGCGUAGAGAUGUGGAGGAACACCGAUGGCGAAGGCAGCCCCCUGGGCCUGUACUGACGCUCAUGCACGAAAGCGUGGGGAGCAAACA
rnacentral:rRNA from 1 species